AGAGGAGGGGUAUCAGAAAGAAAGCCAGUACAUUCGCUUAGAAAGAUAAAAAAAUAAAGAAAUAUCGAUUAAUAUUAAUACAUUAUAAGUUAUUGAAGCCGUCCUGUAUGUUUGAAGAGGUACACAGACAUUUAAAUAAAUGAUAAACGUGUGUGUCAGUACCUGUAUGUCCUUGAGAAGAAUGGAGAGUGUCUCCGUGUGACCGAUGAAGAGGAGAAGACUGCCAUUCUCAAUGAAGUUCACGCAGGACACUUCGACUCAUGGGUCGUAUCACUGCUGCAGUACAGUGGAAAGACAGUUCGGAUCGGGUGGCCACAUGUACAGCAGCAGCAGGGAUGGAGGGACUGUGGACUGUUUACCAUCGCAAACAGCCUCACACUCUGCAUGGGUGGAGAUCCAGGUAAGUUAUGUUAUGAUCAAAAGCAAAUGCGUGAUCAUCUUUUUUCUUGUUUUGUAGCUGGAUCUCUUCCUCCUUUCCCGAGCUGUGAGAGAACCCCCCUCCCAGAGGUACAUUUCUGUGAUGUGGAGACCAGACAGGAUUGCACUGGAGCUGAUGGUGGAAUGCGGGAGGUGUGGUGAAUGGUUCCAUGGCCAGUGUGAAGAUCUACAGCCAGAUGACCUCAUAAGCAUGGAGGAGUGUUUGUGCUGCAUUUGGAUUAGUAUAUUAUACUAACACUCCAAUGUGGUAAUGCCUGUCAAGCAACAUUACCAUCAUUUACAGCUAUUCACAUAUGUAUUGUUAAUAAGGCUCAGUGUCUUCAGUGUUUAUUUUUCAUGAGCGCACAAACUACUUAUUUUAAAGAAUUCAUUUUUUUCAGCAGACCCUGAUUCUGUAUUGAGACCUUUUUAUUUGGAGAAAUAUUGCAGCUGCUUUUGCACUUUCAUUUUUAAUUGGUAUGGUAGUCUUAGUUUCUGAGAUACUGAAUUACUGCCUGACUUGAGUAUUUCCAGGGCAGAGAUAUCCAAAGUAAACUGGAUGUCAGUUCCAACACCCACCUUGUUUAAUGUAGUUAUAUUGAACCAGCUGGGGAGGGGCUGAUUCACUGUAUUGAAGUGAAAUUCUGCCAAAUAAGGUGUGUGUAACAUGAUAUAAAAGUACAGUAGAUGUAAUUCUGAAGUGAUAAACAACUUCACAUUUUACGUGUACAUGUUUCAGACAUUAAUGCUUCAAUUUCAAAUUCGAUUUCCAUUCCUAUUAACUGAUAUUAGACAAUGACAUAUUAUAAAAGUUAAUAGUAUGAAAUGUCCGUAUGAUUUACUGAUAACACAUAUAAAUUGGUGAUGUCAUUUUUAGACAGGCAGCCUCUUUAAAGUCCUUCUUUUUUUGUGGGUUAUGUGAGAAGGCAUUUUAAAGUUCUGUUAAACCUGCUCCUAACACCCCACUCCAUCGGUCAGGACCUGGACGUGGUGACGGGGCUUUUUACCAAAGCUGACCUGCUGUAUAGUGUUUGUUUUUUUCACUAAUGCUUACGCAUUAAGUCCUGGAUAGCACGAUACAAUGGAAAUAUGCAAUCUGAUCAUGUACCUGUUUUAUUGUGAAGAAUACAGAAAAUAAAGUUUGU